CUUUCAACAACGGAUCUCUUGGUUCCAGCAUCGAUGAAGAACGCAGCGAAAUGCGAUAAAUAAUGUGAAUUGCAGAAUUCAGUGAAUCAUCGAGUCUUUGAACGCACAUUGCGCCCCUCGGUAUUCCGGGGGGUAUGCCUGUUCGAGCGUCA
rnacentral:rRNA from 1 species